AGUCUCGUGGAUUAGAUACCCUGGUAGUCCACGCCGUAAACGAUGAGAACUAGCCGUUGGGGCCCUUGAGGCCUUAGUGGCGCAGCUAACGCGAUAAGUUCUCCGCCUGGGGAGUACGGCCGCAAGGUUAAAACUCAAAUGAAUUGACGGGGGCCCGCACAAGCGGUGGAGCAUGUUGUUUAAUUCGAUGCAACGCGAAGAACCUUACCACCCCUUGACAUCCUCGGAACUGCCUGGAGACAGGCAGGUGC
rnacentral:rRNA from 1 species